rnacentral:rRNA from 1 species
UGCGUAGGCGGGUCUUUAAGUCAGGGGUGAAAUCCUGGAGCUCAACUCCAGAAUUGCCUUUGAUACUGAAGAUCUUGAGUUCGGGAGAGGUGAGUGGAACUGCGAGUGUAGAGGUGAAAUUCGUAGAUAUUCGCAAGAACACCAGUGGCGAAGGCGGCUCACUGGCCCGAUACUGACGCUGAGGCACGAAAGCGUGGGGGAGCAAACA